UAACAUUUUAAUGUAUUCUCUUAGACUGUGCAAAUACAGAGAUUCUUAAGUACUGUAUGUACCUACAGUACACGCUUUUGGUUCGUUAUUACUUACACACACUCUUCUGGUACAGUCAUACAUGACGUUUCCGCCCCCUGAUUACUACAGGGUGUUGCGUAUUAAUGGAUUAAUUUUAGAGCUCGUAUUAUAUGGAUUUCUCAGUUCUCCUGGGAAUCCGUGCAUAGGAUCCAGUUAAUUUUGAUACGGAUCCUGGAUCCGCACUGACAAAAAUUUAUCCUAAUCCGGAUUUAGCUUAUUGGGUUGGUAUGUACGCACAAGUACAGGCUGCAAAUCAGGGACCUUGGGGAAUUUGCGUAAAAAGUCUUAGUUGAUUGGAGGGAUUGUUGCUUGCAGAUACAGAAACCUAAUGGAUCCGUUUGCAAGCGAGUCGAACAAAACUCCGUUCUCCGGCAGCAUGUAAUUUAUAUCAAUCGGCAAAAAAUCUCAUUUUAAAAAAUUGUGUAUUCUUCUAGUAUUAUACACUAAUUCAUAAUUAUUUAUAUUUAAACAAUUUUAUAUCUUUAUACUUCAAUCUCGUAAAUUUGAUAUGUGGAGUUUUAAAUAGUCAUUCUUUUACACGCCAUUUUGGAUAUAAAACAAGUUUCUGGCUAACAGAGCUCAAUGUUAAAUCUUAAUUACGCCUUGAGUGAUAGUUUUUGUGUGAUUUAAAAGUUAAUGGUAAUAGUUUUUAUAUGAAUAACUUCAUUUUAUAUCGUUGUGAUACUGUUAAAACUGAAAUAUACUAUUUAGAUAAA